UGGGGAAUAUUGCACAAUGGGCGCAAGCCUGAUGCAGCCAUGCCGCGUGUGUGAAGAAGGCCUCGGGUUGUAAAGCACUUUCAGCGAGGAGGAAGGUGGGUGAACUUAAUACGUUCAUCAAUUGACGUUACUCGCAGAAGAAGCACCGGCUAACUCCGUGCCAGCAGCCGCGGUAAUACGGAGGGUGCAAGCGUUAAUCGGAAUUACUGGGCGUAAAGCGCACGCAGGCGGUUUGUUAAGUCAGAUGUGAAAUCCCCGGGCUCAACCUGGGAACUGCAUUUGAAACUGGCAAGCUAGAGUCUCGUAGAGGGGGUAGAAUUCCAGGUGUAGCGGUGAAAUGCGUAGAGAUCUGGAGGAAUACCGGUGGCGAAGGCGGCCCCCUGGACGAAGACUGACGCUCAGGUGCGAAAGCGUGGGGAGCAAACAGG
rnacentral:rRNA from 1 species